rnacentral:piRNA from 1 species
UCGUUUCCAACCAAGACUGCGUAGACCGA